rnacentral:rRNA from 1 species
AGAGUUUGAUCCUGGCUCAGAAUGAACGUUGGCGGCGUGGAUUAGGCAUGCGAGUCGCGCGAUAAUGUAGCAAUACAGGACAGCGGCGAAAGGGAGAGGACAACAUAGGAAUCUGCCCUGGGGUCGGGGAUAGCGUCGGGAAACUGACGGUAAUACCCGAUAAUAUCCAAGGAUCAAAGGAGCAAUUUGCCCCGGGAUGAGCCUAUGCCCCAUUAGCUAGUUGGCGGUGUAAUGGACCACCAAGGCUGUGAUGGGUAGCUGGUGUGAGAGCACGACCAGCCUCACUGGCGCUGAGACACUGGCCAGACACCUACGGGUGGCUGCAGUCGAGAAUCUUCGGCAAUGGACGAAAGUCUGACCGAGCGACGCCGCGUGUGGGAUGAAGGUCUUCGGAUUGUAAACCACUGUCGAGGGGGAUUAAGGGAAACUUGAAAGAACCCUGGAGGAAGGGGAGGCUAAGCUCGUGCCAGCAGCCGCGGUAAGACGAGCUCCCCAAACGUUAUUCGGUAUUACUGGGCUUAAAGAGUUCGUAGGCGGCGAAGUAGGUGAGGUGUGAAAGCCCUCGG